AUUGAACGCUGGCGGCAGGCCUAACACAUGCAAGUCGAGCGGAUGAAGGGAGCUUGCUCCUGGAUUCAGCGGCGGACGGGUGAGUAAUGCCUAGGAAUCUGCCUGGUAGUGGGGGAUAACGCCCGGAAACGGGCGCUAAUACCGCAUACGUCCUGAGGGAGAAAGUGGGGGAUCUUCGGACCUCACGCUAUCAGAUGAGCCUAGGUCGGAUUAGCUAGUUGGUGGGGUAAAGGCCUACCAAGGCGACGAUCCGUAACUGGUCUGAGAGGAUGAUCAGUCACACUGGAACCGAGACACGGUCCAGACUCCUACGGGAGGCAGCAGUGGGGAAUAUUGGACAAUGGGCGAAAGCCUGAUCCAGCCAUGCCGCGUGUGUGAAGAAGGUCUUCGGAUUGUAAAGCACUUUAAGUUGGGAGGAAGGGCAGUAAGUUAAUACCUUGCUGUUUUGACGUUACCAACAGAAUAAGCACCGGCUAACUUCGUG
rnacentral:rRNA from 1 species